ACAGAGAUGAAAAUGUGAAUUUCACCAAAAGUAAUGUGCAGUGAUUGUUUGUGUUUUUGGAGCCGCCUACUGGUGGUUAGGCGCAACUGCAUGCAACGGGUCCUUCAGGCGCAUUCACAGCCCCUCCCACCAAAGCAGUAAUGAAAGCUGGUGGAGACCGUUGUAUGCAGUUGCAGCGCACACACACUGAUGUAUUAUUGUGUGCUUGUUUUUACAUCAGAUCCUGCCAGUAAAAAGCUCUGAAGGACAGUCCUGUGUCUGUGGCCUGAUUGUAUGUGUGCGGUGAUUUGAGGCAACUCCAAUAACCCUGGACGGACAACAAGAGGAAGCCGUCACACUGGUGCCGUGACUCCCGGAUUGCUGAGCAGCUUGAUGCGGUUCACCGGAGGUUACUGUGUCGUCUACCUGCAAGUUACCUCUUCACUUCAAGACCUCCACAAUUGGGUCACAAGAUCCUGCCAGUAAAAAGCUCUGAAGGACA